UACGGGGGGAGCAAGCGUUGUUCGGAAUUACUGGGCGUAAAGGAUGUGUAGGUGGAUAUUUAAGUGAGAUGUGAAAUCCCCGGGCUUAACCUGGGGGCUGCAUUUCAAACUGGGUAUCUAGAGUGCAGGAGAGGAAAGCGGAAUUCCUAGUGUAGCGGUGAAAUGCGUAGAUAUUAGGAAGAACAUCAGUGGCGAAGGCGGCUUUCUGGACUGUAACUGACACUGAGACAUGAAAGCGUGGGGAGCAAACAGG
rnacentral:rRNA from 1 species